rnacentral:rRNA from 1 species
GACGAACGCUGGCGGCGUGCUUAACACAUGCAAGUCGAACGAUGAACCCGGAGCUUGCUCCGGUGGAUUAGUGGCGAACGGGUGAGUAACACGUGAGUAACCUGCCCUUGACUCUGGGAUAACUGCGGGAAACUGUAGCUAAUACCGGAUACGACCCUCGGAGGCAUCUCCUGGGGGUGGAAAGAAUUUCGGUCAAGGAUGGAAUCGCGGCCGAUCAGCUAGUUGGGGAGGUAAAGGCUCACCAAGGCGACGCCGGGUAGCCGGCAUGGGAGGGUGACCGGCCACACUGGGACUGAGACGCGGCCCAGACUCCUACGGGAGGCAGCAGUGGGGAAUAUUGCACAAUGGGCGCAAGCCUGAUGAAGCAACGCCGCGUGAGGGAUGACGGCCUUCGGGUUGUAAACCUCUUUUAGCAGGGAAGAAGCGAAAGUGACGGUACCUGCAGAAAAAGCACCGGCUAACUACGUGCCAGCCGCCGCGGUAA